rnacentral:lncRNA from 1 species
CCCGACCCUAAACUUUUUUAUUGCAUCAUGCUUGUAAGUGUUUCCACUUAGAGGAAAAAGUUUGUGGAAAAUUGAAAUUUGAGGCAAUAUGAGGGAAAUUUAUCUUUGGAUGUGGAAGCACUGACUAAACAAAAUGGCGUCUGCUUGUUCGGAAAAUUAAAAAAAAAGUUUAAAAAAAGUUAAAACUGACCUACCCUACAUAAGUUUUUAUAAGAAGAAACUGGAAACCCAAUAUAUUUUUUUGGCCUUACUAAAGAAGGACUAUAUAUCGUAAG